rnacentral:rRNA from 1 species
AGCAGCCGCGGUAAUUCCAGCUCCAAUAGCGUAUAUUAAAGUUGUUGCAGUUAAAAAGCUCGUAGUUGAAUUUCGGGAUCAAUAUGUUGGUCGUGCCUUGGUACGUACUGGCAUUAUUGGUUCCUACCUUCUGAAGAACCUCGAUGUCAUUAAUUUGGUGUCUUGGGGAAUCAGGACUGUUACUUUGAAAAAUUAGAGUGUUUAAAGCAGGCUCGCGCUUGUAUACAUUAGCAUGGAAUAAUGAAAUAGGACGUUUGAUUCUAUUUUGUUGGUUUCUAGGAUCGACGUAAUGAUUAAUAGGGAUAGUUGGGGGCAUUAGAUUCAAUUGUCAGAGGUGAAAUUCUUGGAUUUAUUGAAGACUAACUACUGCGAAA